ensembl:lncRNA
GAAGUCCCGCCUGCCAGUCCACAGCGCGCUGGCGCGCUGACGGGCGUCCAUCUCCGCGGCGGUCGCCGCCUGGCCUUUUCAGCACCCUCGAAAAAGUUUCCCCGAAGUUUCCAGUAAAAAGAUGGUUGCAGCGGGACCGUGCCUAGAAAGAGCGUGAAGACAUGGCAGACAGAUUUCACAGACAUGGAUCAUAAGUUCACACAAAGAAGUCCUGAAGAUGCUGGGGCUGGACAGUGUGAAAGUAAACACAAACAAAAGAAAGAAAAAAAGCAAAACCCAAAACACCAUGAAUCUCAGUAUAAAUCAGUGAAAUAUGAUUCUUCAGAUAAUGAAUUGUUUCCUCGUGCAUCAUCUUCCUCAGGAUGCCAGACGGAUUCAAGCAAUGAAGGUUGUUUACCACCCUGUUAAGGUUUUUGCAUAUAUAACUUAAGUCAUUUUAAAAAAUUAAUUAAACCUCCUUCAUAAUUUGUUUAUUUGACUAAUAUUUAUUGAGCCUACCUAAUAUGUGCCAGACAUAAUGGUAAAUAUGGCAGGAGGUAAUGGUGCCAUAAUAAUGGUAAAUAUUUCUUCAGUCAAGGAACUUAUUUUAUAUUGGGCAAUACAAAUAAACAAAUAGUCUAUUACUGUGUAGAUGAAUGC